GUACUGCUAAUCCUUAUGCACCGCGGUUAAAAUCCGCGGCUUCCUCACGCUUCUGAAGGAUAACAGU
rnacentral:tRNA from 2 species